rnacentral:rRNA from 1 species
UACGUAGGAGGCAAGCGUUGUCCGGAAUUAUUGGGCGUAAAGAGCUCGUAGGCGGUCUGUUGCGUCGGCUGUGAAACCCGAGGCUCAACCUCGGGCCUGCAGCCGAUACGGGCAGACUAGAGUUCGGCAGGGGAGACUGGAAUUCCUGGUGUAGCGGUGAAAUGCGCCAGAUAUCAGGAGGAACACCGGUGGCGAAGGCGGGUCUCUGGGCCGAUACUG